rnacentral:rRNA from 1 species
AGCAGCCGCCGCGGGAAUACGUAGGUGGCAAGCGUUGUCCGGAAUUAUUGGGCGUAAAGGGCUCGCAGGCGGUUUCUUAAGUCUGGUGUGAAAGCCCCCGGCUCAACCGGGGAGGGCCAUUGGAAACUGGGAAACUUGAGUGCAGAAAAGGAGAGUGGAAUUCCACGUGUAGCGGUGAAAUGCGUAGAGAUGUGGAGGAACACCAGUGGCGAAGGCGACUCUCUGGUCUGUAACUGACGCUGAGGAGCGAAAGCGUGGGGAGCGAACAGGAUUAGAUACCCGGGUAGUCCCUGUCUCUUAUAA